rnacentral:pre_miRNA from 1 species
GUUAUACUCCCUCCGUCCCAAAAAUUUUGUCUUAGAUUUGUCUAAAUACGGAUGUAUCAAGUCACAUUUUAGUAUUAGAUACAUCCGUAUUUAGACUAAUCUAAGACAAGAAUUUGGGACGGAGGGAGUACAUU